rnacentral:rRNA from 1 species
CCUACGGGUGGCAGCAGUGAGGAAUAUUGGUCAAUGGACGAGAGUCUGAACCAGCCAAGUAGCGUGAAGGAUGACUGCCCUAUGGGUUGUAAACUUCUUUUAUAGGGGAAUAAAAUGUGCCACGUGUGGGAUUUUGUAUGUACCAUAUGAAUAAGGAUCGGCUAACUCCGUGCCAGCCGCCGCGGUAAUACGGAGGAUCCGAGCGUUAUACGGAUUUAUUGGGGUUCAAGGGAGCGUAGGGGGAUUGUUAAGGCAGUUGUGAAAGUUUGCGGCUCAACCGUAAAAUUGCAGUUGAAACUGGCAGUCUUGAGUACAGUCGAGGUGGUCGGCCUUCGUGGUGUAGCGGU